rnacentral:tRNA from 1 species
GCCCGGAUAGCUCAACUGGCAGAGCACGGCUCUUGUAAAGCCGAGGUUGCGGGUUCGACUCCCGCUCCGGGCU